UACAGAGGGUGCUAGCGUUAAUCGGAUUUACUGGGCGUAAAGCGUGUGUAGGCGGUUUGUUAAGUCGGGUGUGAAAUCCCUGGGCUCAACCUGGGAAUUGCAUUCGAUACUGGCAAGCUAGAGUACGGUAGAGGGCGGCGGAAUUCCGGGUGUAGCGGUGAAAUGCGUAGAUAUCCGGAGGAACCCCGAUGGCGAAGGCAACCGCCUGGGCCUGUACUGACGCUGAGACACGAAAGCGUGGGGAGCAAACAGG
rnacentral:rRNA from 1 species